UACGAAGGGGGCUAGCGUUGCUCGGAAUCACUGGGCGUAAAGGGUGCGUAGGCGGGUCUUUAAGUCAGGGGUGAAAUCCUGGAGCUCAACUCCAGAGCUGCCUUUGAUACUGAAGAUCUUGAGUUCGGGAGAGGUGAGUGGAACUGCGAGUGUAGAGGUGAAAUUCGUAGAUAUUCGCAAGAACACCAGUGGCGAAGGCGGCUCACUGGCCCGAUACUGACGCUGAUGCACGAAAGCGCGGGGAGCAAACAGG
rnacentral:rRNA from 1 species